CUACAAUCUUAUCUCUUCUGACCUUGUUCCUUGUUUUCCCAACUCUCUGGAGGAGGCAAGAGUUACCUCACUCCUGAAGAAACCUACCCUCAACCCAUUUGAAGAAAACAACUACAAACUGGCCUCUCUUCUUCCCUUUCUGUCCAAACCUCCUGAAUGUGCUAUCUUUAAUCAACUCUCCUGUCUCCACCGUAACAACCUCCUUGAGGUUGCUCUCUCCUCUCAUCCCACCUUGAUGGCCGCAUCUACCAGCAAUUAGGGGUUAGGUGUCGACAUGGGGCAGCAGAGGCCCAAACCACCAACCUUGCGGCUCCCGGCGCACCCGCUCUACCCCUGCGCCACAUCAACCCCAGACCUGUCUGUUAACUUUGGAAACUGCUUGGACCCUCAGUGUGACACUCGACAGCCAACUCUCCCGGACUCCCAACAUUAAAGCGACAAUACGAUCUACUACAUCAGGAGAAUACGUCCCCUUCUCACUCAAAACGCAGCGCAGGUACUGAUUCAGGCUCUUAUAAUCUCCCACCUUGACUUGUAACUCUUACCUGGCAGGUCUCCCUGCCACUGCCAUUUGACCUCUGCAGCUCAUCCAGAAUACAGCAGCUCGACUGGUCUUUAACCUUCCAAAAUUCUCCCACACUACUCCACUCCUCCGCUCUCUUCACUGGCUACCGGUGGCUGCCCGCAUCCACCUCAAAACUCACGUACCAUGCUGUCAAUGGAUUGGAUCCAGUCUACAGCCAAGACAUGGUCAAACACUGCAUCUAAACCCGCUCUGCAUCUGCCACACUGCUUGUUCCUCCCUCACUGAGAGCAAACCACUCGACAAGAUUAUGACUCUUUGCUGUCCUGGCUCAGAAAUGAUGGAAUGAGCUUUCUGAUGACAUCAGGACCACAGAGUCUUUACAUCUUCCGCCGCAAACACAGACACA
ensembl:lncRNA